AGGCCUCCUUGUGAAAGCUAUUUUAGAAGACAUUGUAAAAGCUACUACCACUGCUGACUUCAAAAAAAUGAUGAUGUAUUCAGCACAUGAUAUUACAAUAAUUGCCCUCCAAUCAGCCCUGGAUGUAUAUGAUAAAAAGCUGCCUCCUUAUGCUGCCUGCCACAUUUUUGAACUCUAUCAAGAAACAAAUGGGCAAUACAGCAUUGAGAUGUACUACCUGACCGACAUUGCUAAAGAUCCUGUUCCACUCACACUGCCAGGCUGCACAAAGGCUUGCCCACUUGACAAGUUUAAAAAAUUGGUUCAGCCUAUCCUAGUAGAUGACUGGGCAGCAGAAUGCAAGAAACCAUAGGAAGCCAUUAUAAAUGGGAGAAGCAAAACUAAAGUCAAAGGAAGGACAAAACAGCAUCAGCAUCUUAAGAGGAAGGAAACAAGAUGCACAUUAAGUUAUGUAAUAGUAAAACAUG